rnacentral:rRNA from 1 species
CCUACGGGAGGCAGCAGUGGGGAAUAUUGCACAAUGGGGGAAACCCUGAUGCAGCGACGCCGCGUGAGUGAAGAAGUAUUUCGGUAUGUAAAGCUCUAUCAGCAGGGAAGAAAAUGACGGUACCUGAUUAAGAAGCCCCGGCUAACUACGUUCCAGCCGCCGCGGUCAUACGUAGGGGGCAAGCGUUAUCCGGAUUUACUGGGUGUAAAGGGAGCGUAGACGGCAGCACAAGUCUGGAGUGAAAUGCCGGGGCUUAACCCCGGAACUGCUUUGGAAACUGUGCAGCUAGAGUGCAGGAGAGGUAAGCGGAAGUCCUAGUGUAGCGGUGAAAUGCGUAGAUAUUAGGAGGAACACCAGUGGCGAAGGCGGCUUACUGGACUGUAACUGACGUUGAGGCUCGAAAGCGUGGGGAGCAAACAGGAUUAGAUACCCCAGUAGUC